rnacentral:rRNA from 1 species
CUGCAACUCGCCUACAUGAAGUCGGAAUUGCUAGUAAUCGCGGAUCAGCAUGCCGCGGUGAAUACGUUCCCGGGCCUUGUACACACCGCCCGUCACACCAUGGGAGUCGGUAACACCCGAAGCCUGUAGUCUAACCGCAAGGAGGACGCAGUCGAAGGUGGGAUUGAUGACUGGGGUGAAGUCGUAACAAGGUACC